rnacentral:rRNA from 1 species
CGAGCCCGGAGAUAGCUGGUUCUCCCCGAAAUAGCUUUAGGGCUAGCCUCAAGGUGAGAGAUACGGAGGGAGAGCACUGAAUGUCCUAGGGGGUAUUGCACCUACCGAAGACUAUCAAACUCCGAAUGCCGUCAUCUUAUACUUGGGAGUCAGACUGUGGGUGAUAAGAUUCAUAGUCGAAAGGGCAACAGCCCAGAUCGUCAGCUAAGGUCCCUAAAUGUAAGUUAAGUGGUAAAGGAUGUGGGAUUGCACAGACAACCAGGAUGUUGGCUUAGAAGCAGCCACUCAUUCAAAGAGUGCGUAAUAGCUCACUGGUCGAGUGAUCCUGCGCCGAAGAUUUCCGGGGCUAAAACUUACUACCGAAGCUACGGCAUCAGUAAUGAUGGGUAGGGGAGCUUCCCAUACGGGUUGAAGCAUGACCGUAAGGACAUGUGGACAG